rnacentral:rRNA from 1 species
AGUGAACGCUGGCGGUAGGCCUAACACAUGCAAGUCGAACGGCAGCACAGUAAGAGCUUGCUCUUACGGGUGGCGAGUGGCGGACGGGUGAGGAAUACAUCGGAAACUACUUUUUCGUGGGGGAUAACGUAGGGAAACUUACGCUAAUACCGCAUACGACCUACGGGUGAAAGCAGGGGAUCUUCGGACCUUGCGCGAUUGAAUGAGCCGAUGUCGGAUUAGCUAGUUGGCGGGGUAAAGGCCCACCAAGGCGACGAUCCGUAGCUGGUCUGAAAGGAUGAUCAGCCACACUGGAACUGAGACACGGUCCAGACUCCAACGGGAGGCAGCAGUGGGAAUAUUGGACAAUGGGCGCAAGCCUGAUCCAGCCAUACCGCGUGGGUGAAGAAGGCCUUCGGGUUGUAAAGCCCUUUUGUUGGGAAAGAAAAGCAGCAGGUUAAUACCCCGCUGUUCUGACGGUACCCAAAGAAUAAGCACCGGCUAACUUCGUG